rnacentral:rRNA from 1 species
CCAGACUCCUACGGGAGGCAGCAGUGGGGAACAUUGCACAAUGGGGGAAACCCUGAUGCAGCAACGCCGCGUGAGUGAAGAAGUAUUUCGGUAUGUAAAGCUCUAUCAGCAGGGAAGAAGAUGACGGUACCUGAAUAAGAAGCCCCGGCUAACUACGUGCCAGCAGCCGCGGUAAUACGUAGGGGGCAAGCGUUAUCCGGAUUUACUGGGUGUAAAGGGAGCGCAGACGGCAGUGCAAGUCUGGAGUGAAAGCCCGGGGCCCAACCCCGGAACUGCUCUGGAAACUGUGCGGCUAGAGUACUGGAGGGGCAGGCGGAAUUCCUAGUGUAGCGGUGAAAUGCGUAGAUAUCACGCAGAACUCCGAUUGCGAAGGCAGCAUACCGGCGCCCUACUGACGCUGAGGCACGAAAGCGUGGGUAUCGAACAGGAUUAGAUACCCCAGUA